AUUGAACGCUGGCGGCAGGCCUAACACAUGCAAGUCGAACGAGUGGCGGACGGGUGAGUGAUGUAUGGGAACCUGCCUGAGGGAGGGGGAUAACUACUGGAAACGGUAGCUAAUACCGCAUACCAUCGGAUGUGCCCAGAUGGGAUUAGGUAGUAGGUGGGGUAAAGGCUACCCUAGGCGACGAUCCCUAGCUGGGCUGAGAGGAUGACUGGCCACACUGGAAGUGAGACACGGUCCAGACUCCGACGGGAGUCAGCAGUGGGGAAUAUUGCACAAUGGGCGCAAGUCUGAUGCAGCAAUGCCGCGGGUAUGAAGAAGGCCUUCGGGUUGUAAAGGUCUGUUGGCGGGGAGGCGUUACCCGCAGAGGAAGCACCGGCUAACUCCGUGCCAGCAGCCGCGGUAAUUC
rnacentral:rRNA from 1 species